rnacentral:lncRNA from 1 species
AGUAUCGUCUUUAUAUCACCUCUGCUAGAUACAAGUAUCAUCACCUCCAAGCAGAAGAAACUGAAGCACGGAUAUUGGGUAACUCGGCCAAGGUCACAGGUAAGCUGGGAACCUAACCUUCUGCAGGCAGUUCUUGCCCUUGGGCCAGUACGUUUUUCAGAAUGCGAGGAGGUGAUGAUCAUGAUGAAGUAAUCUAUCUACAUGUCAUCUGCCAGCUUUGUUCAAACUUGUGAACAAGAACGUUCGACAAAACUCACCCCUCAUUAAUUUGACUCUUCCCAGCAAAGGGAAAGGUCUCUAGAAAUCCUUCUCUGAACUGCAUUCAAAAUGAGGGAGCUAAGCUGAAAGCGACUUUGGGAAAGGGGUCCUGGUGCAAGCCUCUCGCUACGUAUGCCAUCUUCGGUUGCAGCACCGUGCCGGGUGCCCAGAUCAGAAACCAGCCAAGGUGGCAGAGUCUGUAGGAAGAGCCAAAGACUGAAGUGGGAUAGCGCCUACCAAAACUACACACAGGCACUUAAAGGGCUGCUCUCACGUGACCCAGCGCCUCGCAUCCGGGCCGCGCACGGACCCGCAGUAUCCCUGAGUCACCUCGGCUGCAGCAGCAGGAUCGGGACCCGUCGCAACUGGUUCCUGUCCACCGCAGCCAACAACGCCGCCGCGGCCAUCUCCGCGCUGUUCUGCUGGAUUCCAAAAGCUGCUUGGCUUAUUCGUGAAAGCGUCCCUCCCUGCGCAAGCUUCUUGUCCCUGAUCCGCCACCGUAGCUCCGAAGAGCAAGUAGGCGUCUCCGCAAGAGCCAAUCACAGAACUGGGUGUUUCAAGCUAGAUUGUCCUUGCUGUGUGAGAUCCACCUGCCACAGUUGAGAAAGAAUGGAGCGAGGCCAGCUCAGUAUCACAGAUGCUGGAAGGCUGCCAAGCCACUCACAGACUUGACUUCAAUUUCCAUUGGAAAGCUGUCAUAGGAGAAGCUAACAGGUGAUCUUUCUGAGAUGACUACCUUGGAUUAAAAAUCUACAAUAGAACUCCAAGCACACAGAGAAGACAGUAGCUGACCACAUCUGAGCUAGUGCCCUUUGCAGUGGGUUGAGCCCGGCUACUGCCUAAGCAGAAAUUCAACUCAACAAGGCAAACUGAGACAAGUGAGUAGACAUACAACAAACAAGAGUGUGCCUGAUAAAGUCCUGCACACAAAUACCCCAACCAAACCUCCCCGAAAACAGUGCCACUAACUGGGAAACAAAUGGUCAAGUAUGGGGGAACAUUUCUUAUUCAAAACAUUGUCAAUUGGUGAAUAUGGGUUAUUGAAAUCGCCCACUUUUACUGUGUUUGGAUCAAUCUGUGGUUUUAGAUCUACCAGUUCUUCUUUUAUGAAAUGGGGUGGCCCUGUAUUUGAUGUACACGUGUUUAUUAUUGUAGUGUACGGUUGGUAGAUUUCCUUUUUCUUUGAGGAGAAUGAAGAAUCUCUCUGCCUUUGUUUGAGUUUUACUGCUGUGAACAGAUACCAUGAUCAAGGCAACUAUUACAAGGACAACAUUUAAUUGGAGUUGGCUUGCAGGUUCAGAGGUUCAGUCCAUUAUCAUCAAGGUAGGAGCAUGGCAGUGCCCAGUCAGGAUUGGCACUGGAGGAGCUGAGAAUUCAACAUUUUGUUCUGAAGGCAAACAGCUAAAGACUGGCUUCCAGGCAGCUAGGAUGAAGGUCUUAAAGCCCAUGCCCGCAGGGACAUGCCUGCUCCAACAAGGCCACACCUCCUAAUAGUGUCACUCCCUGGGCCAAGCAUAUACAAACCAUCACAUGCUCCUUACCUCUUUUGGCUAGUUUUGGUUUGAAGUCUGGUUUAUCAGACAUUAGAAUAUUACAAUUUAGUUUCUUUUGUUUUGAAUACUUUUUUUUUUUGCAUCUUUUACUCUAAAGUGAUGUCUAUUUUGAUAUGAGGCAUGUUUCUUAGAGGCAGAAAAAAUAGAUCCCAUUUCUUAAUCCAAUCUUUUAAUCAGUCAAUUGCUGUCAUUUUGUUAAUUUUGUAAAGUUUUCUCAUAUCUUGUUGGAUUCCCUGCCAUGACACUGUUUAUUUCAUUUCUGUGACUGCUUGACUGUGUUUAGCCUUCUUUUCAGCAUUCCUUCUGGUCACCCCCUGUAGAGCUGGCUUAGUAGUAGUAAAGUCCUUUUAUCUAUCCUUUGUAUGGAAAGAUUUUAUUUUUCCUUCAAUUCUCGGGGAUAGUUUUGCUGAGUAUAGUAGUCUGGGUUGGGUAAUAUUAACUUUUUUCUAAAAAUUGGAAAUGUUCUUCAUUUUCUGCUUUAUGGAAUACUUAAGGAGUAUUAGUGUUAAUUCCUUUUUUUUUGAAUAUGUGGUAGAAUUUUGAGCUAAAUCCAUCUGGCCCUGAACAUUUUAUUAAUUUAGAGAUUUUUAAGUAUCAUUUGUAACCCACUGGUGCCAUGUUCCUAUCUAAAUUCUUUCUUUUUUUUUUUUUUAUCUUGAUUCAGCUCUGUUACCCCAUAUACCUGUAGAAAUUGAUUCAUUUCUUUUAGAUGUUCUGGUUUGAUGGGAUAAAGAUUUUUAAAGUAUGUAAUUACAACUGUCUGUCGGUUGCAAUCUCUCCCCUUUUAUCCCUAAUUUUGUAAAGUUAGAUUAAAAUGUGUUG